CUUCAUGCUACAAUGGGCAAAGGAGAGUCUCCUUCAGCUUUCUUUUCUCUCUUUGGCAGGAUUUUUAAUAAGAAUCUGGGGGAGCAAGGUGUGGUUGCACAGCCUGCUGCUGUCCAGAGCAGCCUGACUACAGGCUUUGACAGGGACUUCAGCUAAGGCUCCAGACCAAGGACCAUACUCCAGACGCUCAGCUGGCUGCUUUGGGGAUGGAAUUAUGCUCAAGCAAUCAUCCAUUGGAGAAAAUUGCUCCUACAAAGCUGAAAAAGGUUCCUGUGUUUCUCCUCUGGGAGCUUCUUCCCAGGGGAGGAGCAGGCCACUGUUGGUGAUGCAAAACCUCGUGUACCUCCUCUGGGACCUCACAGAUAUGGGUCACAGACAGGCUUCAGCUCUGGGCUGCAGGUCCUCUCAGCACGUGUCUGUUUGGAACUGCACUGGAGUAAUUAAAGGAAUAACCCAGCUGGGUCUGGUUAUGGAGAGGCAGAUCAUCCUGCUUCCUCCUCCCCGUCGCACGCUGGAUGUGCUUCAAUUUGUUUGGCUCUGGCUGGGAAAGAGGCAGUGCACACUCGAGCAGAGGGCUGGGCAAAAACCCUUCCCCUGACAACCAGGACAUGGAGAGUAGAGGGCUGAGAGUUCACCUUGACCUGCUAAUGGAGGGAAGAGCCUCAGAUACUACCCUGUAUUUAUCUGGAUUUUGUCUCAUGUGUGUUACCAUAAAUUGUCAUGGCCAUCCUUUGCUUUUUGAUUUGUCAGUGAGGGCAGUGAAGACCUGGACUCUUUCCAAGAGAUGCUUCACUUCUACCCAACUUGCUGGUCUAGUGAAAGCCUCACUGCUUAACACCAAAGCACCUCCAUGGCUCUCGGGGCUGGGGAGAUGGUGGGGUUUCUGCUUUGAGCUCAUGAGAGCGCUGCCAUGUCCUUGUCUCACCCCCUGCAGGGGCCCUCAGGAUUGCUCUCCCUGCUGGGUGCCUUGUUUCCACAAGGAUCUUCCAGCAGCAAUGAGCAAUGUGGUGGGGGCUGCAUCCCCCAGGAUGAGCACUUGGGAGAGGGAAGUGGUUCCAAGUGUUGCUCCAUGUAUUGCAGGCAUAAGGACCUGAAUCCUUCAUCCCAGGCUCAGCCAGUGGGACUCUUCAUUCUGUCACGUGCCACCCUCCAGGUGCUGCAGGACUGUACUGUGACAUGGGGCAGCCUCCAGCCCCAAAACUCUGGUACUCCCUGGGGUGAUCUUGUGCCUUCUACAGCUAUUUUGAGGAGUCAGGUCUGGCCCAAAAUGGGCUGCUCUUGCCAUUCUGCUCCCCUUUGUGCUCCCUCCUUCCCAGUGCUGUGUAUGUGAGUGGCAUGAGGAGCAGAGCCAACAGCAAGAGCUGGCUGUGUCCCUUACUAAUGUUCUUCUUAUUAUUUCAGUGCCAUCUUCCUUCUUUCCAUCCUCUCCCUGAACAACUAAAUUAAUUAGAGUGAUUCUUUUUAUUUAAAUACUGCCAUGGAAUAAUAAUUCUCGUGAAUUCAAUUUUUUUUGUCAUUCCCCACUGCUGCUUUUCUGUGUUGUGCUCACUUUUAAUACGCUGUUGAUACUUUGUUAGAGCUAUGCAAGAUCACAGCUGUUGUCCACAAAAAAAUAAAAAAGUAAAAUCAUGCUAUGUGCUGUUGCCAUCCAAAACCCAUUUUUCUUUCUCCACCAGCUCACAAAAUAACCCUCCCACUAUUAACUGAAGAGACAGAUAUUUUUCUUGGCUUGUAAAAAGCCAAAAAGCCUCACAACUUCAGCGAAGCUGCAGCAGUGCAAGGAAGCUGAAGCUCCUCCAACAGGCUAAGCCCCACUGUUAUGAGGAUGGAUCCCUCAAAUUCUGGAUCCCAGGAGUGAUUCCUCAGAGGCUGCAGAUCCUUGGGCACCACCAGCCCCUAAGAUUCAGCAGUCACUGAAUUUUGUUUACCUGGAUGUGUUUGUCUGAGAUGUAAACAUGUUAACUGAACUGACCCAGUAACAAAACCACUCCUGCAGCUCUCAUGAAAGGACCAAAAAAUCCCAUUAGAGACCUUGAAUUUAUAUUUACAAUAUUUUACUUAACACUGGCUCCUCUGAAGAGUUUUCCCCAGACCCUUUCUGA